UCUCUGGUAGUAUAGUGGUGAGUAUCCGCGCCUGUCACGUGCGAGACCGGGGUUCGAUUCCCCGCCAGAGAG
rfam:Strongyloides venezuelensis genome assembly, scaffold: SVE_scaffold0000072